rnacentral:rRNA from 1 species
UGAAUACGAGACGCUAAGGCGUUGAAGUAGUGUAUGUCAUACUUCCAAGAAAAGCUUGCCUGUCAUAGAUAAAAAACGCCUGUACCAUAACCGACACAGGUGGGUAGGUAGAGUAUACUAAGGGGCGCGAGAUAACUCUCUCUAAGGAACUCGGCAAAAUAACUCCGUAACUUCGGGAGAAGGAGUGCCUUAUUUAUAAGGCUGCAAUAACAAGAUCCAAGCAACUGUUUAUCAAAAACACAGGUCUCCGCUAAGUCGUAAGACGAUGUAUGGGGGCUGACGCCUGCCCAGUGCCAGAAGGUUAAAGAAGUUGGUUAGCAAUAGCGAAGCUGAUAACUGAAGCCCUGGUGAACGGCGGCCGUAACAAUAACGGUCCUAAGGUAGCGAAAUUCCUUGUCGGGUAAGUUCCGACCCGCACGAAAGGCGUAAUGAUUUGGAUACUGUCUCGGAGAGGGGCUCGGUGAAAUAGACUUGUCUGUGAAGAUGCGGACUACCUGCACCAGGACAGAAAGACCCUAUGAAGCUUUACUGUAACUUGAAAUUGAAAUUGGACUUUAUUCGCGCAGUAUAGGUGGGAGGCGUUGAUUGUAAUCUUGCGGGAUUAUUGGAGCCAUCAGUGAGAUACCACCCUUGUAAUGUUAGAUUUCUAACUUUGAAUCAUUAUCUGGUCAAAGAACAGUUUCAGGCGGGCAGUUUGACUGGGGCGGUCGCCUCCUAAACGGUAACGGAGGCGUACAAAGGUUUCCUCUGAACGGUUAGAAAUCGUAUCUAGAGUGUAAAGGCAUAAGGAAGCUUGACUGUGAGACCUACAAGUCGAGCAGGGACGAAAGUCGGUCUUAGUGAUCUGACGGUACUGAGUGGAAAGGCCGUCACUCAACGGAUAAAAGUUACUCUAAGGAUAACAGGCUGAUCUCCCCCAAGAGUUCACAUCGACGGGGAGGUUUGGCACCUCGAUGUCGGCUCAUCGCAUCCUGGGGCGGUAGUACGUCCCAAGGGUUGGGCUGUUCGCCCAUGAAAGCGGUACGCGAGCUGGGUUCAGAACGUCGUGAGACAGUUCGGUCCAUAUCCGGUGUAGGCGUUAGAAUAUUGAGAGGAGCCUUCUUUAGUACGAGAGGACCGAGAAGGACAUACCUCUGGUGUACCAGUUAUCGUGCCAACGGUAAACGCUGGGUAGCUAUGUAUGGAGUGGAUAACCGCUGAAAGCAUCUAAGUGGGAAGCCCACCUCAAGAUAAGUAUUCUC